AUAUGGUUUGUUGAUUCUGUUUCAGUCUUGCUCCAGUGCAUCAGCAGAUUCUAUGAGGAGAUUUAAGAGCACAAUUGAUGGUGAAUAGAUUAUACUGUAAAUUCCUGAGAUGCUCAAUUUUUCCACCUUCAACUUUUAGAAGCAAACCAGGUCGCAGGUACGUCUGCAAACUGUCCCCCGCAAGUCAGAAGAGGGGAAGAUCCAUCCAAAGUGCAAUUAGACAUGCAAAUUCAUCCAUGCAGUCAGGUCCGACGAGAAAACACAGCAUGAGAACACAGGUAAAAUGCACCGCCGCCCCCAAACGGAG